ACUUCUGAGAUUGACAUAAAAGAUUCCAUGAGUAUAGCGAUACGUAGAUUGUUCUUGACUAGAUAUAUUUUUUCCACAAUGCAAACAUUGAUGAUAUUGCAACAACAAGAUCUUGCUAUUUUCAUGUUGGGACUAUGAAAUCUGAUGAAUAAUAUUAUUGAUUGAAGAGCAACCAAUAUUUCAGGACUAUGGAAUCCGGCUUGAUAGAGUGGAAAGAAACAAGAUUAAAUAACUUUAUAUGUGCAUAAAAUUCUUUAUGUGCAAUUAGUUUGUAGUUUAAUCUUUUGUCAUUAACGCCAACUUCACCUUGCAAGCUUCCAUCAGUGCUGAAAAGACAGCAUUGGAGCAGAAGAUGUAAGCAAGCUGAUGCGCCAUUUGGAUGAAAAAAACAAGCUUUAGGAAAGUGGUGCCUUCAUUUGGCAAUAAAACUCCCCCAAUGGUCAUGAAAGAGCUUCAUCCUGGAACGACUUGUGUUAUUAGCAGCAUUUGUUAACUACUAUGCACAGCUGCCAAAAUACAGAUUCCAACCCGUUGCAACAUUUGAGCAUGCUCGCUCCGAAGUAGAAAUUUACUUUUUCUAAUAGAAUAAAGUAACAGGUAGAAUUAAUGUGAUGAUUAUGCAGAAACAACAUCAGAUAGAGAGUAUUCUAAGGAUGUCAAAUGAAUAAUGAGUCCUCAAAAAUUGUGAGAAUUCUUGCAUCUAAGUCAUUUCCUUUCAGGAUUGAAUGUCUUCAAUUUUUCUUUUCAGGUCAUGAAAGAGCUUCAUCCUGGAACGACUUGUGUUAUUAGCAGCAUUUGUUAACUACUAUGCACAGCUGCCAAAAUACAGAUUCCAACCCGUUGCAACAUAUCUCAUACAUAUGUUGGACCACCUACAAUCUCACUGUUUUUGCCUUUUUAGCAAGCUCCCUCUAUAACUUUAUUCCGCAAAUAAAUGUAAUAUACUAUGAAGCAUAUUAUGUCAAUAUGUAGUUUAAUCAUGUCUCAUUAGUAAAAAUGCCUGUGCCUUGCACGGGCCCAACACUUCGGAUUAGUGAUGGUUUAAGUGAUAAGAGAAGACAAUUUAGAGGAACAUCAUAAUGAUAAUUUAUAAGGCUAAUGAAACUGAAGUAUAGUCUUUGUUUCAGAACUUUAAUGUUUGCCAACUCAAGAUUCAUAUUUGUAUUUCUCUUUUCCAUGACAAAUUUCAUUAGCUUAAUAGUACAGUUCCUUUGUUGGUAAUCAAUAUUUGUUGGGUAUUUAUAUUAGUGUUCAGUACUUUUAGUAAGUAAUAUUACUUGAUCUUUUUGUUGUUGGAUUUUCUACAGGUUGCUUGUGCAUGUUUGAAACUAGAUGCAUAGGUGCAACCUUUUGAGAAGUACCGAAAAUUUGAUUCAAAUAAAUUAUGUUUAUGGACAGGGUGACACUUGGCUAAAUAAGAAGCUUAAAUGACUUGGCUGGCAAGUGACAACUAUAUGAAAAUGGCCAUUCACAGUAAGCGUGGGUUAGGAGAAUGGAUUGACAUGGUGCCUUAUGUGUCAAUAAAUUUACAAUCAAGGGCAAUUUAGAGAUUCAAGGCAGGCUUAUUUAGGUUAGUUUACGUGUCAACAACCCUCCAACUGUCACUUUCUUCUCACAGAACUCAUCUGUGUGCCGACUGCCUCUCCGAUGUUCAAAACCCCGAACACCACACUCCUUUUCACCUCACACACUCCCAUUCCACCUUCCCACAAAGGCGUUCGAGGUGUUCACAAAAUCCGACAAAACGGAGAAGCCAGGUUUGUCUCAAAGGGUACCAAAGGAGAUUCCAACCAUUGAUAUUCCUCUCAGGGUAAGUUCACAGUUUUCCAUAUCCUUUAAACUUGGGUACAUCAUUCAUGUUCUUUGAUUGUCGUUUAUCUCGACUCUUUUAUGACAUUUUGAUCAAUGAAUUUUGUUCUGUUAGUUUGUUGGAGAGAUUGCACAAGCAAUGUGUUUUUUAUUUUAACUAUAUAGAAGCGUGGGUUAGGAGAAUGGAUUGACAUGGUGCCUUAUGUGUCAAUAAAAUUACAAUCAAGUGCAAUUUAGAGAUUCAAGGCAGGCUUAUUUAGGUUAGAUUACGUGUCAACAACCCUCCAGCUGUCACUUUCUUCUCACAGAACUCAUCUCUGUGCCGACUGCCUCUCCGAUGUUCAAAAACCCGAACAUCACACUCCUUUUCACCUCACACACUCCCAUUCCACCUUCUCACAAAGGCGUUCGAGGCGUUCACAAAACGGAGAAGCCAGGUUUGUCUCAAAGGGUACCAAAGGAGAUUCCAACCAUUGAUAUUCCUCUCAGGUUUGUUGGAGAGAUUGCACAAGAUAUUACACAUGUUGGAUAGGAUAAAUAAAGCUUAUGUGGAUGAGAACCAUAAGCCACGGUGGCCUCUGCUGCCUCACUCACUUUUGGAAGUUUUUGAACCAAAGUAAACAUCAAACUGCUAUCUUUUUGCAAAAUUGCACUGCCUGUUUUGAAAGCUGGAUUCCCGAAGAACAAAGAAUAUAUGCAACGCACAAUACUUUAACAAGCCUCUCCAGGUAUUUUUUCAACCACGCAUCACACAGCUACAACGUUAACUGCGAAGAACAAGAUGACUGCCAGCGGCAUAGUCGGUAGUUGUGUUACUAUAUUGCCUUUUGCUGCUACCGGCUUCUAUCAAUAUAUAACUAAUGUGUGUAUGCAUAGACAUGCAAUCAUCAAUGUGUAUAUAAACAUUAUGUUUUAGUUGUGCAAUACCUUCUUCUGUCAAACUGUUAAUAAUGUGUAUGUUUAUAUAUAUAUAAACCGUUUAAACGAUAUGCUUCAAUU